UACGUAGGUCCCGAGCGUUAAUCGGAUUUACUGGGCGUAAAGCGUGCGCAGGCGGCCCGUUAAGACAGGUGUGAAAUCCCUGGGCUCAACCUAGGAAUUGCGCUUGUGACUGGCGGGCUCGAGUACGGUAGAGGGGGGUGGAAUUCCUGGUGUAGCAGUGAAAUGCGUAGAGAUCAGGAGGAACACCGAUGGCGAAGGCAGCCCCCUGGGCCUGUACUGACGCUCAUGCACGAAAGCGUGGGGAGCAAACAGG
rnacentral:rRNA from 1 species